rnacentral:ncRNA from 1 species
UGUUGGACGCAACACUGGGAGUGACUGAAUAAACUUACUGGCAUAUAGCUGGUUAAGGUGAUGUGAUACAGGUGGUGCUGCUGCUUCGGAAGAAGUAGAACCGAUCAACCAAUCGGAUCACAGGCAGAGAUGAUUUCUAAACUGUAGAAAUGCCCAUCUCUUGUUGGUAUACAGGAACCCAACCUCCCCUCUU